GAUGAACGCUGACAGAAUGCUUAACACAUGCAAGUCUACUUGAACUUCGGUUUGGGUGGCGGACGGGUGAGUAACGCGUAAAGAACUUGCCUCACAGUUAGGGACAACAUUUGGAAACGAAUGCUAAUACCUGAUAUUAUGAUUUUAGGGCAUCCUAGGAUUAUGAAAGCUAUAUGUGCUGUGAGAGAGCUUUGCGUCCCAUUAGCUAGUUGGAGAGGUAACGGCUCACCAAGGCGAUGAUGGGUAGCCGGCCUGAGAGGGUGAACGGCCACAAGGGGACUGAGACACGGCCCUUACUCCUACGGGAGGCAGCAGUGGGGAAUAUUGGACAAUGGACCAAAAGUCUGAUCCAGCAAUUCUGUGUGCACGAUGACGUUUUUCGGAAUGUAAAGUGCUUUCAGUUGGGAAGAAAAAAAUGACGGUACCGACAGAAGAAGUGACGGCUAAAUACGUG
rnacentral:rRNA from 1 species